CUAUGUUAGCCUAUCAAGCAUCACAAAGGAAUAUUCUUUAUUCCUUUUCUUUCCCAACCACUCAUUCAAAAUAUCUAAUUUUCCUCUCAUCCUCACCACACAUUCAAAUUUCUGAUCACACUCUCUCUCCACGUGAGUCCCACCCACACCCAAUCAGAAUUGUAUACUCUCUCUCCCCCCAUUCACUCCCUCACGCUUUCACUCUCUCAUUCUCCCCUCUCACUCGACAUCUCUCUCCCUUUCUCCUCCUUCACUUCUUCUUCCUCCAUCUCUGCAAAAAACACUUCCCUCCAUGGCUGAGCAAAACGACGCCACCCAUGGCCAAGCCACCACCGCCACGAGCGCCCCGCUACUCACGGAUGCCACCACUAACCGCACCACCAUCACCGUUCCUUCUUCUUCAUCUCAAGGGAGCCACCAUGUAUGAACCACCACCACCUUGAGGCCACAUCCGCGAGGUCCUCUCCCCUGUUUCGCGAGCUCCGCCGCACCACCACCACGUCCAGAAGCGACGAAGAGCUAGAGAAAAACAAAACCCUAAACCGCGACAUUCAAGCUUCGAUCUCCGGUGAACCCCUUAGCUUUUGGAGAAACGAAUACUACCACUGAACUCCCCUCAUCAUCAGCUUCAAAACCCCUAAAGAAAUUUUGGAUUCCGACCACCUUCGCCGGAAACCGCCGACUCCGGCGUCUUCUCCGACGAGCUUUGUUCUAAGAAAAGAAUGUCAAUUUCUCGAAGCUCUUGAUCUCCUCUUCCUGAAUCCAAGGCUCAAUCAUCAUUAAGAGAGCUCACUGGUCAUCAGAGGAAGAGAAGGUCGUGACUAGAGGAAGAAUUGAAGUUCAGCCCCACAGCUUGACACUUGAGGUAGUGGGAGAAAGACUGGAACACUUUAUGCUCCUCUAAAUUUUAUAUCUCUUGUCUUUUGCUGUCCAUGUACCUUGUAAAAUUUAAUGAAGGAAUGUAGAAUAGUGUAGGUGUGUGGUGUGAGUGAUAGUGUUUGAUUGUUGAUUUCGGAGGGCAUUAGGGUUCAGCCCUUACUGUGCUUGAAAGCUUUUGCGAAAACUCACAUAAAACUGUUGUUGUUUUCGAAAGUAGUAGCCGCUGUUAUGUUAAAAUCGUAUGUUUCGGUUAAUAUUUUCGAACUGUGUUCUUCAUAAAAGUUGUAGCUUUUUCCGUUAGUAAACUUUUGCCGCUGGUUUCAUGUCA